CAACUCCUGCGUUUUCAAAAUGGCAGACCCAAACAGAAUGCAAGAAGAUUGGCAAUCUCCAAAUUUUCGGUCAAAAAUUGUUAAUAAGCUGGAGGAUGUCAUGAGAAACAGUCAGACUCAGAUGCCUAAGUCAAGUGUGGAAAUGGAAGAGUAUGUUUUUCGUAAGGCAAGAACUAGAGAAGAAUACCUGGACUUGGUAGCUCGGGUGUUACUGUCUGUUGGAGACCACAAUUCUAAGGACAAGAAGAUGAAUUCAGGCAUUCCACCUAAUAUGGGUCAACCUGGAAUGAAUGUAAUGCGAGCUCAAGUUACUGAUCAGGAUCCUAUGAAUGCACUUCAGAGUUUAACAGUCCAAGGUGCUGGAGCUAUGGGUCGCCCAGCUGAUGGAUUCACUGCUCAAUAUGAUACUCUGGGUGAUCAGAUGACCAAUCAGAUGACCAAUCAGUACGAGUCUUUAGGGGGAAUGAUGCAUGGUAUGGGAGGGAACAUACAGCAACCUAGAAUGAUGCAGAACAUCAGGGCACAGAUGGGACAGCGGCCACAAAAUUUGAUUCGUCAGGAUGCUUUCAUAGUGACAUCUUCCCAGGCAAUGCAAGGGCAAGCACAUGCCAUGUCAGUCUCCAGUCCAGGAAUGACAUAUUCUGCUGGUCCAAUCAGGCAAAUGCAAGGUCAAGGUCAAUACUUACAACAGGGCCGGGACAUUGGAAUUUCUGGUAUGCCAGUGCAAUCACCAGCUCAGGGAUCUCCACUGACAAUGAUGUCCUCACCACAUAUGAUGCCUUCACCAGUUGUCAGGGGCCAGAUGGGUGUCCCAUCUCCUAAUACCAUGCUUCACACACCAGGCACUGCUGUGUCUGACCCCAGUCCUGGACCUCCCAGCACAUCACAAGAAGAGAUGGAAUAUGUCAAGAAAUUGGAAAAACUUUCCCGCUACAUUGAACCAUUGAGAAAAUUCGUUAUUGAUUCAGAAAAAAAAACAGAUGAAGAUAGCAAAAAGAACCAUAAAAAGAUGAAAAGUUUACUGGACAUACUGACCAAUCCAAAGAAAAGGGUACCAAUGGUUGUUCUUGAAAAGUGUGAGCAAGUUUUGCAAAAGCUGACAACCAGUUCCAGUGUGUCCAGUGCCCAUGGUCACAUGUGUCAACCUCUCUUGGAUGCAGUUGCCCAUUUCUCCACAGCCUCAUACCUCAAUCAUUCCCUUCACCGCACCUUUGGUCCAGCUCUGGAGGCUUACAUGGGGCCAGCCAUUAAAGCUCCAAGCCCACCCCUUACCAAAAAGAGGGUUAGAGAAGAUGAGAUUCCAGAUAUUCUUCAAGGUGAGAUAGCCAGGCUAGAGCGAAGGUUCUGUGUCUCUCUAGACAGCAGAUACCACCCUGGCUCUGAGUGCCACCACCUGGUCUGUAAACUGGACGAGCACCAGUUGCCCAGUGUACCGCCCCUACUGGUCACCAUCCCAAGGACAUAUCCCAAGUCAAGUCCCAGGUGUGACCCGAGCUCAUGCCCUGGCUAUGAUGCCACUGAAUUCUUCCAAAACGUGGAAAAGAAUUUGGCUGUUCAUCUGUCCAAUAUGCCCAACCGUUUCUGCCUGACGCAGUUGUUAAGUUCCUGGGAGAUGAGUGUAAGAAAAGCGUGCGACCCCGUCAACCCUCUCAUUGCCCAGGUCAAUCCGACCUUCGUCUAGACAAGCAACGGACGUUCCAGAACCUGUCCAGCAAUCAUUGAACCAUAAUGUCCAACAAUCAUUGAACCAUAAUGCUGUCCAGCAAUCAUUGAACCAUAAUGUCCAACAAUCAUUGAACCAUAAUGCUGUCCAGCAAUCAUUGAACCAUAAUGCUGUCCAGCAAUCAUUGAACCAUAAUGCUGUCCAACAAUCAUUGAACCAUAAUGUCCAACAAUCAUUGAACCAUAAUGCUGUCCAGCAAUCAUUGAACCAUAAUGUCCAACAAUCAUUGAACCAUAAUGUCUUUUUUUGACAAAUAAAAAUAUCGUUUCUGUUU